UACGGAGGGUGCGAGCGUUGUCCGGAAUCACUGGGCGUAAAGGGCGCGUAGGCGGUCUGCUAAGCGUGCGGUGAAAGCCUGGGGCUCAACCCCAGGUCUGCCGUGCGAACUGGUGGACUUGAGCACUGUAGAGGCAGGUGGAAUUCCGGGUGUAGCGGUGGAAUGCGUAGAGAUCCGGAAGAACACCAGUGGCGAAGGCGGCCUGCUGGGCAGUUGCUGACGCUAAAGCGCGACAGCGUGGGGAGCAAACAGG
rnacentral:rRNA from 1 species